UACGUAGGGACCGAGCGUUGUCCGGAAUCAUUGGGCGUAAAGAGCGUGUAGGCGGCCUUUUAAGUCCUGCGUGAAAUCCUGCGGCUCAACCGCAGACGGUCGUGGGAAACUGGAAGGCUAGAGUGCGGGAGAGGAGAGUGGAAUUCCCGGUGUAGCGGUGAAAUGCGCAGAUAUCGGGAAGAACACCCGUGGCGAAGGCGGGUCUCUGGGCAAUUCCUGACGCUGAGGCGCGAAAGCGUGGGGAGCAAACGGG
rnacentral:rRNA from 1 species